rnacentral:rRNA from 1 species
AGAGUUUGAUCCUGGCUCAGAACGAACGCUGGCGGCGUGCUUAACACAUGCAAGUCGAACGCGAAAGCCCGCAAGGGUGAGUAGAGUGGCGCACGGGUGAGUAACACGUAAGCAAUCUGCCCUUGAGUGGGGGACAACGUUCCGAAAGGAGCGCUAAUACCGCAUAACCCGGUAGGGACCCAGGUCCCGGCCGGCAAAGAUGGCCUCUGCUUGCACGCUAUCGCUUAAGGAGGAGCUUGCGUCCCAUUAGGUAGUUGGUGAGGUAACGGCUCACCAAGCCCGCGAUGGGUAGCCGGCCUGAGAGGGUAACCGGCCACACUGGCACUGAGACACGGGCCAGACUCUACGGGAGGCAGCAGUGAGGAAUUUUGGGCAAUGGGCGAAAGCCUGACCCAGCGACGCCGCGUGGGUGAUGAAGGCCUUCGGGUCGUAAAACCCUGUGAGAUGGGAAGAAGCCGUUGCGUGCUAAUACCACGUCGCGGUGACAGUACCAUCAGAGGAAGCC